GCUACGCAGCUGCUGAGAGAGACAGGUCGCAAAAUGCAACUUGAAUCAGAUGGACUGUAAAUAUGCUAUUUUUGAGCAAAUAAAGUGCUAUUAGGAAAGAAGAAACGUGUGGGACCUAUUUACUGACUGCCCUUUCUACACGGACGCUGUGCAAAUUCUGCUAAUUGCUUUACGACCUGCAGAGGUGCAGGGGAGCGUGCCGGACCA